rnacentral:rRNA from 1 species
AUUGAACGCUGGCGGCAGGCCUAACACAUGCAAGUCGAGCGGUAGCACAGGAGAGCUUGCUCUCCGGGUGACGAGCGGCGGACGGGUGAGUAAUGUCUGGGAAACUGCCUGAUGGAGGGGGAUAACUACUGGAAACGGUAGCUAAUACCGCAUAACGUCGCAAGACCAAAGAGGGGGACCUUCGGGCCUCUUGCCAUCAGAUGUGCCCAGAUGGGAUUAGCUAGUAGGUGGGGUAACGGCUCACCUAGGCGACGAUCCCUAGCUGGUCUGAGAGGAUGACCAGCCACGCUGGAACGGAGACCCGGUCCAGACUCCUACGGGAGGCAGCAGUGGGGAAUAUUGCACAAUGGGCGCAGGCCUGAUGCAGCCAUGCCGCGUGUAUGAAGAAGGCCUUCGGGUUGUAAAGUACUUUCAGCGGGGAGGAAGGUGUUGUGGUUAAUAACCACAGCAAUUGACGUUACCCGCAGAAGAAGCACCGGCUAACUCCGUGCCAGCAGCCGCAGUAA